GGGGCAUUAGCGCAGCUGGGAGCGCGCCACACUGGCAGUGUGGAGGCCACGGGUUCAAGUCCCGUAUGCUCCA
rnacentral:tRNA from 2 species